UGAAUACGAGACGCUACGGCGUCGAAGCAGUCUAUGUCAUACUUCCAAGAAAAGCUCGCAAUGUCAUAAACAAAUAAUGCCUGUACCAUAACCGACACAGGUGGGUAGGUAGAGUAUACUAAGGGGCGCGAGAUAACUCUCUCUAAGGAACUCGGCAAAAUGACUCCGUAACUUCGGGAGAAGGAGUGCCUUAUUUAUAAGGUUGCAAUAACAAGAUCCAAGCAACUGUUUAUCAAAAACACAGGUCUCCGCUAAGUCGUAAGACGAUGUAUGGGGGCUGACGCCUGCCCAGUGCCAGAAGGUUAAAGAAGUUGGUUAGCAUUCGCGAAGCUGAUAACUGAAGCCCUGGUGAACGGCGGCCGUAACGAUAACGGUCCUAAGGUAGCGAAAUUCCUUGUCGGGUAAGUUCCGACCCGCACGAAAGGCGUAAUGAUUUGGAUACUGUCUCGGAGAGGGGCUCGGUGAAAUAGACUUGUCUGUGAAGAUGCGGACUACCUGCACCUGGACAGAAAGACCCUAUGAAGCUUUACUGUAACUUGAAAUUGAAAUUGGACUUUAUUUGCGCAGCAUAGGUGGGAGGCGUUGAGAGUAUUCUUGCGGGAAUACUGGAGCCAUCAGUGAGAUACCACUCUUGUAAUGUUAGAUUUCUAACUUUGUAUCAUUAUCUGGUCAAAGAACAGUUUCAGGUGGGCAGUUUGACUGGGGCGGUCGCCUCCCAAACGGUAACGGAGGCGUACAAAGGUUUCCUCUGAACGGGUAGAAAUCGUAUCUAGAGUGUAAAGGCAUAAGGAAGCUUGACUGUGAGACCUACAAGUCGAGCAGGGACGAAAGUCGGUCUUAGUGAUCUGACGGUGCUGAGUGGAAAGGCCGUCACUCAACGGAUAAAAGUUACUCUAGGAUAACAGGCUGAUCUCCCCCAAGAGUUCACAUCGACGGGGAGGUUUGGCACCUCGAUGUCGGCUCAUCGCAUCCUGGGGCGGUAGUACGUCCCAAGGGUUGGGCUGUUCGCCCAUGAAAGCGGUACGCGAGCUGGGUUCAGAACGUCGUGAGACAGUUCGGUCCACAUCCGGUGUAGGCGUUAGAAUAUUGAGAGGAGCCUUCUUUAGUACGAGAGGACCGAGAAGGACAUACCUCUGGUGUACCAGUUAUCGUGCCAACGGUAAACGCUGGGUAGCUAUGUAUGGAGAGGAUAACCGCUGAAAGCAUCUAAGUGGGAAGCCCACCUCAAGAUAAGUAUUCUC
rnacentral:rRNA from 1 species